rnacentral:rRNA from 1 species
CGCGGGGCAACCUGGCGGCGAGCGGCGAACGGGUGAGUAACAUAUCGGAACGUACCCUAUCGUGGGGGAUAACACAUCGAAAGAUGUGCUAAUACCGCAUACGACCUGAGGGUGAAAGCGGGGGAUCGCAAGACCUCGCGCGACAGGAGCGGCCGAUAUCGGAUUAGCUAGUUGGUGAGGUAAAGGCUCACCAAGGCGACGAUCCGUAGCUGGUCUGAGAGGACGACCAGCCACACUGGAACUGAGACACGGUCCAGACUCCUACGGGAGGCAGCAGUGAGGAAUAUUGGGCAAUGGGCGCAAGCCUGACCCAGCAACGCCGCGUGGAGGAAGACGGCCUUCGGGUUGUAAACUCCUCUUACGGGGGAAGAGGAAGGACGGUACCCCGAGAAUAAGUCACGGCUAACUACGUGCCAGCAGCCGCGGUAAUACGUAGGUGACAAGCGUUAUCCGGAAUUACUGGGCGUAAAGCGCACGCAGGCGGCGCAUUAAGUCUGACGUGAAAUCUCCUGGCUUAACUGGGAGGGGUCGUUGGAGACUGAUGUGCUUGAGGCGAUGAGAGGGGUGUAGAAUUCCCGGUGUAGUGGUGGAAUGCGUAGAUAUCGGGAGGAAUACCAGUGGCGAAAGCGACACCCUGGCAUUAGCCUGACGCUCAUGUGCGAAGGCGUGGGGAGCGAACGGGAUUAGAUACCCCGGUAGUCCACGCGGUAAACGAUGAAUACUAGGUGUGGGUGGAGUGAAAUCCAU